CUUUGUCAAGAGAUGAGGGGGUGGGAGGAGCAUCCUAGGACCUUAUCUAGGAGGGUUUGUGGGACCUGGUGACUCACGGGAUGUGGGUCUGGAAGGAGUUCUGAGCAGCUGAUGCUACCAGGUGGGGAGAUAGUGGGGAGGUGACACCAAACUGAAAUGAAGUGACAGGAGGAGGGCCAGCUUCUGUCAAUUCUCUCAUCAGUCUUGGGAGUUACUGGUAACUAUGCCCAUCUUGCAGAGGAGGAAGCUGAGCUCUGGCACAUGGAACUUGUCCAAGGUCACACAGCUGCAGGCACACUGGCACAGGGCCUGGCCAACCGUCUGUGGAGUUGAUCCAAACCAAUGCUGUGCUGCCCAGGCCUGCCCUGUCACUUCAGGAUGUACAAUUCAGUUAAUU
rnacentral:lncRNA from 10 species